rnacentral:rRNA from 1 species
UGGGGAAUAUUGCACAAUGGGCGCAAGCCUGAUGCAGCCAUGCCGCGUGUGUGAAGAAGGCCUUCGGGUUGUAAAGCACUUUCAGCGAGGAGGAAGGUGGUGAGCUUAAUACGCUCAUCAAUUGACGUUACUCGCAGAAGAAGCACCGGCUAACUCCGUGCCAGCAGCCGCGGUAAUACGGAGGGUGCAAGCGUUAAUCGGAAUUACUGGGCGUAAAGCGCACGCAGGCGGUUUGUUAAGUCAGAUGUGAAAUCCCCGGGCUCAACCUGGGAACUGCAUUUGAAACUGGCAAGCUAGAGUCUCGUAGAGGGGGGUAGAAUUCCAGGUGUAGCGGUGAAAUGCGUAGAGAUCUGGAGGAAUACCGGUGGCGAAGGCGGCCCCCUGGACGAAGACUGACGCUCAGGUGCGAAAGCGUGGGGCAGCAAACAGGAUUAGAUACCCUGGUAGUCCACGCUGUAAAACGAUGUCGAUUUUGGAGGUUGUGCCCUUGAGGCGUGGCUUCCGGAGCUAACGCGUUAAAUCGACCGCCUGGGGAGUACGGCCGCAAGGUUAAAAACUUAAAGGAAUUGACGGGGUCUAGCUG